rnacentral:siRNA from 1 species
CGGGCGCGCUUGAUGACUGUC